CCAUUAAUUUCACUCUCUCUUUGCCUCUCCCAGUCUCUCUCAUCCCUCUUUGAAUUUUCCAAUUAAGGCAAUUCAUGUAAACACGUUUUAACCACAAAAUUGCUCAGAGUCAUUAAAUUGCGCAUGCAAUUGGAGUGUUCCGGAGAUUAUUGGAGCGAUUGUUGGUGAGCAAAAGCAAAGUUGGUAUUUAAAGAAUUUCGAGCCGAAAUUGUGGUACUGAGGUAAUUAUGUCUGCGGUUUUUUGUACGGUUAGUAUAAAAGUUUGGCAUGGUGGUUCCUUCAAGCAUGUUAACAAUGGGGAAAUGGUAGGGGUGGGAGGGUGAUCUUAGGAGGCCAAGGUGCAAGAGGUGUAACCCAAGCAGCUGCUAGAAAAGGUGUGUUUCUUAGCCAACCUACUGCAUCAGGUCCGAGAACAAGAGGGAGAGGAACUGGACGAGGCACUGGCAGAGGCAGGACUAAGGUCCCAAUAGGAGUUGGAGUGUUGUUUAGUUCAGAUGGGACACCACUUUCACAGGGGGCUAACACUAGAGGAGGGGGUAGAAGAAAGGGAAGAGGUCGUGGAAGAGGAUCACAGUCCACCCAAUAAACAAAAUCUAAGACCUUUAUUUAGUUUAAUGCCUUGCUAGCAUUUUGUCUGUAAUGAAGUACUAACCACUAUGCUUAUUUUGCAUGAACAAUUAUCAUUUUGUUUCACAAAGUACUGGUGGAUGUACCUAAACUGAAGUUGUUUUGCAAUGCAAUGUACACUUUAUGCUGUUA